GACGAACGCUGGCGGCGUGCUUAACACAUGCAAGUCGAACGCGCUUCACUCCUUCGGGAGUGAAGUGAGUGGCGAACGGGUGAGUAACACGUGAGCAACCUGCCCUUGACUCUGGAAUAACAGCUGGAAACAGCUGCUAAUACCGGAUACGACCUUCGAUGGCAUCAUCUGAAGGUGGAAAGCUCCGACGGUCAAGGAGUGGGCUCGCGGCCUAUCAGCUUGUUGGUGAGGUAACGGCCUACCAUGGCGACGACGGUAGCUGGUCUGAGAGGACGGCCAGCCGGACUGGGACUGAGAUACGGCCC
rnacentral:rRNA from 1 species